GGGCAUUUGGCACAGUGGUAGCGCGCACGCUUCGCACGAUGAUUAUCAUCAAGUCUGCGUGAGGUCUAGAGUUCGAUCCUCUAAAUGUCCA